rnacentral:rRNA from 1 species
ACUGGCUCAGGAUGAACGCUAGCUACAGGCUUAACACAUGCAAGUCGAGGGGCAGCAUGGACCCAGCUUUGCUGGGUUUGAUGGCGACCGGCGCACGGGUGAGUAACGCGUAUCCAACCUGCCCUUUACUCCGGGAUAGUCUCCUGAAAGGGAGUUUAAUACCGGAUGUGUUUGUCUUUCCGCAUGGGAGCGACAAAUAAAGAUUGAUUGGUAAAGGAUGGGGAUGCGUCCCAUUAGCUUGUUGGCGGGUAACGG